CGCCUACGGGAGGCAGCAGUGGGGAAUAUUGCACAAUGGGCGAAAGCCUGAUGCAGCAACGCCGCGUGAGGGACGACGGCCUUCGGGUUGUAAACCUCUUUUAGCAGGGAAGAAGCGCAAGUGACGGUACCUGCAGAAAAAGCACCGGCUAACUACGUGCCAGCAGCCGCGGUAAUACGUAGGGUGCAAGCGUUGUCCGGAAUUAUUGGGCGUAAAGAGCUCGUAGGCGGUCUGUCGCGUCUGCUGUGAAAACCCGAGGCUCAACCUCGGGCCUGCAGUGGGUACGGGCAGACUAGAGUGCGGUAGGGGAGAUUGGAAUUCCUGGUGUAGCGGUGGAAUGCGCAGAUAUCAGGAGGAACACCGAUGGCGAAGGCAGAUCUCUGGGCCGUAACUGACGCUGAGGAGCGAAAGCGUGGGGAGCGAACAGGAUUAGAUACCCCGGUAGUCAA
rnacentral:rRNA from 1 species